rnacentral:piRNA from 1 species
CUGAUUCAGCCAGGUGGGCUCUUCAAGC